GACGAACGCUGGCGGCGUGCCUAAUACAUGCAAGUAGAACGCUGAAGGAGGAGCUUGCUUCUCUGGAUGAGUUGCGAACGGGUGAGUAACGCGUAGGUAACCUGCCUGGUAGCGGGGGAUAACUAUUGGAAACGAUAGCUAAUACCGCAUAAGAGUAGAUGUUGCAUGACAUUUGCUUAAAAGGUGCAAUUGCAUCACUACCAGAUGGACCUGCGUUGUAUUAGCUAGUUGGUGAGGUAACGGCUCACCAAGGCAACGAUACAUAGCCGACCUGAGAGGGUGAUCGGCCACACUGGGACUGAGACACGGCCCAGACUCCUACGUGAGGCAGCAGUAGGGAAUCUUCGGCAAUGGGGGGAACCCUGACCGAGCAACGCCGCGUGAGUGAAGAAGGUUUUCGGAUCGUAAAGCUCUGUUGUAAGAGAAGAACGAGUGUGAGAGUGGAAAGUUCACACUGAGACG
rnacentral:rRNA from 1 species